rnacentral:lncRNA from 1 species
GUCAGUCAAGUUGUUGGGUGUUAUUUUGGUUGGAUAAGACAAGAAUUGUGCCAAAACUGUUAUUGAUGAAAUUCAGGCAUAUCCACAACCAACAAUGGUUGCACAAUUGCAGACCUAGGUGGGCUUGUUGGGAUAUUGGCAGGCCUUUAUUCCCUACCUUGCCCAAUUAUAUCAUCCCCUAUAUGCCCUGGUGAAGAAAGGGGCUCAAUGGAACUGGACUGAAACAGCUAAGCAGGUCUUUUAGGGCAUGAAGAUGACCAUUCAGCCAGCUCAGGGCCUACAGGUAGACCCAACUCAUCUCUUUGAGCCAAAUGUCCAUGUAAUCCAGGAAGGCUUUGGGUGGAACCUGUGGCAGUGGCAUGAGAGGCUGCAGAAACCAGUAGGCUCUGGUCACAGUUGUGGAAGGGUGCAGACGCUUAUUACACCCUCAUAGAGAAGUAGCUUGCAGCUGCACAUGCAGCCCUGGAGGCAUUAUGUGCUGGCUGAGGUUUAGGUGUGCACCACAUAUCUUGUGGCAGGAUGGGUAUAAAAUUGAGAAGUUGCCCGAGGACAGGGGUAACCCAGACACCUACCCUAGUAAAGUGAGGGAAAUAUUUGGAACAAGGAAGUGCUCUGUCUACUGGUCCCUUGUCUCAUGAACUUCUACAGAUUCUAGGAGCUGGCAAGGGCCAAGAGAGAACCCAAAUGUGCUAGGAGCUGGAAGAAGCCAAGAAAGACCAAAUGCUCCAGGAUCCAACAGGGUUCUGGAGAGCCCAGGUGUGCCAGAACCAAUGGGGGUGAAGAAGGAGCCCAAGUGUGCAAGAAGCCAGCAAAGACAACAGACUUCGGGAGCUGCU